AUGGAAAGCGGCGGACGGGUGAGUAACGCGUGGGCAACCUGCCUUUCACAGAGGGAUAGCCAAAGGAAACUUUGAUUAAAACCUCAUAAAGCUGGAAUAGUGCAUAAUAUACCAGCCAAAGAUUUAUCGGUGAAAGAUGGGCCCGCGUCUGAUUAGCUAGUUGGUGGGGUAACGGCUCACCAAGGCGACGAUCAGUAGCCGACCUGAGAGGGUGAUCGGCCACAUUGGAACUGAGACACGGUCCAAACUCCUACGGGAGGCAGCAGUGGGGAAUAUUGCACAAUGGGCGAAAGCCUGAUGCAGCAACGCCGCGUGAACGAAGAAGGCCUUCGGGUCGUAAAGUUCUGUCCAAAGGGAAGAAAAGAAUGACGGUACCUAUGGAGGAAGCCCCGGCUAAAUACGUGCCAGCAGCCGCGGUAAUACGUAUGGGGCAAGCGUUAUCCGGAAUUAUUGGGCGUAAAGAGUGCGUAGGUGGUGGCUUAAGCGCAGGGUUUAAGGCAAUGGCUUAACUAUUGUUCGCCUUGCGAACUGGGUCACUUGAGUACAGGAGAGGAAAGCGGAAUUCCUAGUGUAGCGGUGAAAUGCAUAGAUAUUAGGAGGAACACCGGUGGCGAAGGCGGCUUUCUGGACUGCAACUGACACUGAGGCACGAAAGCGUGGGUAGCAAACAGG
rnacentral:rRNA from 1 species